rnacentral:rRNA from 1 species
CUCUUUUGAAUUAUAUAUAAAAGUAUAACCUGCCCACUGAAUUAUUUAAAUGGCCGCAGUAUUUUGACUGUGCAAAGGUAGCAUAAUAAUUAGUUUUUUAAUUAAAAGCUUGUAUGAAUGGUUGGACGAGGUAAAUACUGUCUUUAAAUAAUUUAUAAUAGAAUUUAAUUUUUAAGUUAAAAAGCUUAAAUAAUUUUAAAAGACGAGAAGACCCUAUAGAUCUUUAUUAUUUUUUUUGUAAAAAUUAUUUAGAUUUUUAUGAUUUUUAUAAUUAAAAUAAUUUUAUUGGGGUAAUAUAAAGAUUAAAAUAAUUCUUUAUUAUUUGAAACAUAAAUUUAUGGUUUAUUUGAUCCAGUUUUAUUGAUUAUAAGAUUAAGUUACCUUAGGGAUAACAGCGUAAUUUUUUUAAAGAGUUCAUAUCGAUAAAAAAGAUUGCGACCUCGAUGUUGGAUUAAAAGUAAUUUUAGGUGUAGAAGCUUAAAGUUUUGGUCUGUUCGACCAUUAAAUUUUUACAUGAUCUGAGUUCAGACCGGCGUAAGCCAGGUCGGUUUCUAUCUUUAAAAAAAAAAAUUAUAUUUUAGUACGAAAGGACCAAAUAUGAGAUAUAGUAUAUAUUUAAAAUUUUGAAUAUUAUUAU